GAAGCGAGCCAGACCGCCGCUGGUGCAUGUCCCGAAAGGGCGCACUGGAGGAAGGUCCGGACUGCGCAGGGCGGCGUAGCAGCCAACGGCUGUCCACCGCAAGGUGAGGAUCAGAGCAACAGAGACGAGCCGAUUCAGUUCGGGUGAAACGGGCAAUCUCUACGCGCAGCAAUACCAAGUAGGCACACGUUGACCUGGCCCGGGGAGUGUGCGGGUAGGUAGCACCGAGCCAUCGCAGCGAUGCAUGGCCCAGAGGAAUGGCGGUCACGCCCUCGGCCCCGCAAGGGAUCGAGGGCGCACAGAAUCCGGCCUAUCGGCUCGCUUCACAU
rnacentral:RNase_P_RNA from 1 species